UACGUAGGGUGCGAGCGUUAAUCGGAAUUACUGGGCGUAAAGCGUGCGCAGGCGGUUUUGUAAGCCCGAUGUGAAAUCCCCGGGCUUAACCUGGGAAUGGCAUUUGGGACUGCAAGGCUUGAGUGUGGCAGAGGAGACUGGAAUUCCUGGUGUAGCAGUGAAAUGCGUAGAUAUCAGGAGGAACACCGAUGGCGAAGGCAGGUCUCUGGGCUAACACUGACGCUCAUGCACGAAAGCGUGGGGAGCAAACAGG
rnacentral:rRNA from 1 species